AUAUACUCAUGGGUUGGGUUUAUCCUAUAAACAGAAAAGAUCAUCUCCUUACACAUUAUUAUUCUUAUUAUUUAAAAAAAUUGUUUACGCAAUCACUCUUAAGAAAACAAAAAUAGAAUAGGUAUAGAACGCAACAUCAUGAUGAUAAAUUUAAGGUGUUCGAUGAAACGAAAUUCUGGGCAUGGUUGGCAAAGCAUCGCCAUUGAAUGAUGAAGCUUUUGCAACUGAAGACAACGUUGGAGCAUUUGCAGCUGAAUUAACUGCAAGGAACAGCUGUUACCAAACAUGUUUCUAGGAUUUGUAGAUCCAACAGUGUGCUACUGUCACUGUCCUUGGAGUCGGAGGCUGAAGCACUGCCUAAUCACACAAUAUAAUACUGAUCCUUUUAGCUUCCCCAAAAGGACUAGUGUUGAGAUCACGUGAUAAAUCACAUGACCUUCUUACAAAUGUUUUACAAAACAACCAAAAUCGGGUCAGAGUCACUAAACAUGUAACAGUCAAAGAAAAGCACAUGAUCCCACUGUUAUCAGAUCCCAAUUUGGAUUUUUACUGGUAAUUUGAAAGAAAAAAAAUCAGCGAGUUUGGUAUAAAUCACUUCUACUUAUAUGAACCACUACAUGGUCUCAUUCUAUCAUAUCAUAUCAGAAAUCAUUGCCACUUCACUCACCAAGUAGCAUAACAAAGAGCAAACCACCAACAAAAUGAAGUCAUGCUCUAGAGCGCUUGCUGCUCUUGCUCUUCUUCUUUCAGUACUUCUGUCUGCCUGCUUAAACAUAGCUCAAGCAGAGGGUCGUUCUUUGGCACCACCAUCUACCACUUCAGUAUCAAGCAAGGCUUCAACUUCACAAGCUUUCAGAGAUUUGCAAGCAAAUAAGAACCCAUUUAAGAAAAUUGGUUCAAGCUACAGAAGAAUACCUCCAAGCAACUCAAAUCCUACACAGAAUAAGUGCAAGCCUCCACUAGGCGACUGAAAGAAUCACAAACCAGAAGGUUCAAAGCGACAGCAUUGAGUGUAGCAGCUCUUUUUUUUCUCUUUGCGUGUGUUCCAUUCAUUCUUUAACACCCUUUUUAUGUAGACUAGAGUUUAUGUCAAUAGCCACCAAAUGUAAUUGCAGUUCGUAUCGCUUUUACAAUUUUUUGCUACCAUAGG